rnacentral:rRNA from 1 species
CCUACGGGUGGCUGCAGUGGGGAAUAUUGGACAAUGGGGGGAACCCUGAUCCAGCCAUGCCGCGUGUGUGAAGAAGGCCCUCGGGUUGUAAAGCACUUUCAGUGAGGAAGAACGCCUGGUGGUUAAUACCCAUCAGGAAAGACAUCACUCACAGAAGAAGCACCGGCUAACUCCGUGCCAGCAGCCGCGGCAAUACGGAGGGUGCGAGCGUUAAUCGGAAUUACUGGGCGUAAAGCGCGCGUAGGUGGCUUGAUAAGCCGGUUGUGAAAGCCCCGGGCUCAACCUGGGAACGGCAUCCGGAACUGUCAAGCUAGAGUGCAGGAGAGGAAGGUAGAAUUCCCGGUGUAGCGGUGAAAUGCGUAGAGAUCGGGAGGAAUACCAGUGGCGAAGGCGGCCUUCUGGACUGACACUGACACUGAGGUGCGAAAGCGUGGGUAGCAAACAGGAUUAGAUACCCUUGUAGUC